AGCGAAAUUCCUUGUCGGGUAAGUUCCGACCCGCACGAAAGGCGUAACGAUUUGGGCACUGUCUCAACGAGAGACUCGGUGAAAUCAUAGUACCUGUGAAGAUGCAGGUUACCCGCGACAGGACGGAAAGACCCCGUGGAGCUUUACUGUAGCCUGAUAUUGAAAUUCGGCACAGCUUGUACAGGAUAGGUAGGAGCCUUUGAAACGUGAGCGCUAGCUUACGUGGAGGCGCUGGUGGGAUACUACCCUAGCUGUGUUGGCUUUCUAACCCGCACCACUUAUCGUGGUGGGAGACAGUGUCAGGCGGGCAGUUUGACUGGGGCGGUCGCCUCCUAAAAGGUAACGGAGGCGCUCAAAGGUUCCCUCAGAAUGGUUGGAAAUCAUUCAUAGAGUGUAAAGGCAUAAGGGAGCUUGACUGCGAGACCUACAAGUCGAGCAGGGUCGAAAGACGGACUUAGUGAUCCGGUGGUUCCGCAUGGAAGGGCCAUCGCUCAACGGAUAAAAGCUACCCCGGGGAUAACAGGCUUAUCUCCCCCAAGAGUUCACAUCGACGGGGAGGUUUGGCACCUCGAUGUCGGCUCAUCGCAUCCUGGGGCUGUAGUCGGUCCCAAGGGUUGGGCUGUUCGCCCAUUAAAGCGGUACGCGAGCUGGGUUCAGAACGUCGUGAGACAGUUCGGUCCCUAUCCGUCGUGGGCGUAGGAAAUUUGAGAGGAGCUGUCCUUAGUACGAGAGGACCGGGAUGGACAUACCUCUGGUGUACCAGUUGUCGUGCCAACGGCAUAGCUGGGUAGCUAUGUGUGGACGGGAUAAGUGCUGAAAGCAUCUAAGCAUGAAGCCCCCCUCAAGAUGAGAUUUCCCAACUUCGGUUAUAAGAUCCCUCAAAGAUGAUGAGGUUAAUAGGUUCGAGGUGGAAGCAUGGUGACAUGUGGAGCUGACGAAUACUAAUCGAUCGAAGACUUAAUCAA
rnacentral:rRNA from 1 species